rnacentral:misc_RNA from 1 species
GGAAUCUCCUCAUCUUUGCCACCGGUGGGGUACCCUCCCCACUCAUCCUGAGGUACCUGGGAGCAGACAGACAUGAAACACGCAUCAACUUUGUCACUGAGAACGGCAGCAUCAGCUCCUUUUUGGAAACAAAUCCUCUACAAUUCCAUAAAGAUACACCUCUUUACAGUCAUUUAUCAGUUAAAGUCAGAUGUAUAAAAAUGCAUAUCCUAAAAGGAAAUGAAUAUAAA